rnacentral:rRNA from 1 species
UACGUAGGCAGCAAGCGUUGUUCGGAAUUACUGGGCGUAAAGAGUGUGUAGGCGGUGCUCCAAGUCUGGUGUGAAAUCUCCCGGCUUAACUGGGAGGGUGCAUUAGAAACUGGAAUGCUAGAGGAUGGGAGAGGUAAGCGGAAUUCCUGGUGUAGCAGUGAAAUGCGUAGAUAUCAGGAGGAACACCUGUGGUGUAGACAGCUUACUGGACCAUUUCUGACGCUGAGACACGAAAGCGUGGGUAGCAAACAGG